rnacentral:rRNA from 1 species
UACGAGAGGCCCAAACGUUAUUCGGAAUUACUGGGCGUAAAGGGCGCGUAGGCGGCGCAACAAGUCACUUGUGAAAUCUCCGGGCUUAACCCGGAGCGGUCAAGUGAUACUGUCGUGCUAGAGUGCGGAAGGGGCAACUGGAAUUCUCGGUGUAGCGGUGAAAUGCGUAGAUAUCUGGAGGAACACCGGUGGCGAAGGCGGCAUCCUGGACCGGCAUUGACGCUGAUGAGCGAAAGCCAGGGGAGCAAACGGG